rnacentral:rRNA from 1 species
AUUGAACGCUGGCGGCAUGCCUUACACAUGCAAGUCGAACGGUAACAGGUUAAGCUGACGAGUGGCGAACGGGUGAGUAAUACAUCGGAACGUGCCCAGACGUGGGGGAUAGCUCGGCGAAAGCCGGAUUAAUACCGCAUGUGCUCUGAGGAGGAAAGCGGGGGAUCGCAAGACCUCGCGCGUUUGGAGCGGCCGAUGGCUGAUUAGGUAGUUGGUGGGGUAAAGGCUUACCAAGCCUACGAUCUGUAGCUGGUCUGAGAGGACGACCAGCCACACUGGGACUGAGACACGGCCCAGACUCCUACGGGAGGCAGCAGUGGGGAAUUUUGGACAAUGGGCGAAAGCCUGAUCCAGCAAUGCCGCGUGCAGGAUGAAGGCCUUCGGGUUGUAAACUGCUUUUGUACGGAACGAAAAGGCGCCUACUAAUACUGGGCGUUGAUGACGGUACCGUAAGAGUAAGCACCGGCUAACUACGUGCCAGCCGCCGCUGUAAGAC